AUUGAACGCUGGCGGCAGGCCUAACACAUGCAAGUCGAACGGUAACAGGAAGUAGCUUGCUGCUUCGCUGACGAGUGGCGGACGGGUGAGUAAUGUCUGGGAAACUGCCUGAUGGAGGGGGAUAACUACUGGAAACGGUAGCUAAUACCGCAUAAUGUCGCAAGACCAAAGAGGGGGACCUUCGGGCCUCUUGCCAUCGGAUGUGCCCAGAUGGGAUUAGCUUGUUGGUGGGGUAACGGCUCACCAAGGCGACGAUCCCUAGCUGGUCUGAGAGGAUGGCCAGUCACACUGGAACUGAGACACGGUCAAGACUCCUACGGGAGGCAGCAGUGGGGAAUAUUGCACAAUGGGCGCAAGCCUGAUGCAGCCAUGCCGCGUGUAUGAAGAAGGCCAUCGGGUUGUAAAGUACUUUCAGCGGGGAGGAAGGGAGUAAAGUUAAUACCUUUGCUCAUUGACGUUACCCGCAGAAGAAGCACCGGCUAACUCCGUGCCAGCCGCCGCUGUAAAAC
rnacentral:rRNA from 1 species